rnacentral:rRNA from 1 species
CGGGCUCAAACGUAGCAGGAAUACUUUUGAAAGGAGGUAGCUCUUCGGAGCCUGCUACGAGGUGCUGCAUGGUUGUCGUCAGCUCGUGCCGUGAGGUGUCGGCUUAAGUGCCAUAACGAGCGCAACCCCUACCGUCAGUUGCCAACAGGUAAAGCUGGGAACUCUGGCGGGACUGCCAGCGCAAGCUGAGAGGAAGGCGGGGAUGACGUCAAAUCAGCACGGCCCUUACGUCCGGGGCGACACACGUGUUACAAUGGCAGGUACAGCGGGAAGCCACCUGGCGACAGGGAGCGGAACCCGAAAACCUGUCUCAGUUCGGAUUGGAGUCUGCAACUCGACUCCAUGAAGCUGGAUUCGCUAGUAAUCGCGCAUCAGCCACGGCGCGGUGAAUACGUUCCCGGGCC